GGGAUAGCAGUGUUUUUGAUCUGCUGUUUCGUUUAUACUGCAGAAGCAGUAAAUACCGUACGUAAAUCCGGAAAGCUUGCAUCAACAAAAUACGUUGUACAGUAUCCAAGGCAAGGCAGGCAAAGCUCAAUUGCUGAAAUGGAUGUUGAAAGUGACGUUCAUUGGGAUGAAAUUGAAAGCAGCUUUUUUGGAAGUGUAUUUCAGAACAGAGUAGUUUAGACAGUGACAAUGCUGAUGCUACUUUAUUACGAUCUCGAGUAUGGUGCACAAUAGACACUACCAGGCAACUUCCCCUUUCUCCACCUAGGUUCCAACUUCAUUGUGCUUCUUCACUCUAUAUCAGUACUGAUCGUAAUGGUGACAAUAUACAGUUUUUGGGUAUUUUUUGGAUGAUGUAAUAUUAGAUAUGUUAACAAAAACAAACUGCUAUGCAGCUCAGUGUCUUCAAGCAUGCAAGUUUCAUGAAUCUCAUUACAGUAAGUGGCAUCCCACAACAAAUGACAAGAUAUACACACUUCUUGUCAUCAUAAUUUUACAUAGUAUUGUGUGUUAACCUGAACAGCUACUUUUUUCUUCCAAGAAAAUCUCUUAUUACCACAUUUUUUUUCCCUCCAAAAUUGACUUAUGAAAGGUUUUUAAUUUUGAAACAGUACCUUCACUUCUCUGACACUGAUACUAAUAACCCAGAAAAUCACCCAAGUCCAAAGCUGAAUAAGAAAAGGAUAUUUUUUUUUUAGUAUCUAAAUGAUAAAUUCAAGAUGGUUUAUACAACAAACAGAGAUAUUACUAUCAAUUAGUCUUAUAGUAUUCAAAGGACGACCUGGUUUGGUCCAGUACAUUCCUCGAAAAAGGGCCAGAUAUGGUAUCAAGAUGUUUAUGCUUUGUGAAUCAAAAUGGGAUACAUCUGGUCAAGUCUUAUGUACACAGGAAAAGGGAUAGUUGUUGAUGAAGAUUACAAAAUUCUUUUUACAGAUUGUGAUUGUCAUUAUUGAAACCUUUAGUAGACAAGGGCUAUGCAUAACAAUGGGCAAUUUUUACACUUGCCCAACAACUAGCAGACAUACUUAUUUUUCACACCACUGACAUAUAUGUGAUAGUAAAACUUAUAAGAAUAGAAGUGCCUCCAGACUUGAAGAAGAAAAAAAUUCAAGAAAGGAGAAAUCAUUACAUAUCAGCAUGGAAAGGUUACUGGAAUGUGCUGGAAGGACAAAAAUGAUGUAACUGUGCUAUCAACUGUUCGUAAUGAUUGAUGUUGAAAAAAGAAUAAUUAUUAAUUAUAACGACACCAUGGGUAGGUGUUG